UACGUAGGGGGCAAGCGUUGUCCGGAUUUAUUGGGCGUAAAGAGCGUGUAGGCGGCCAUACAGGUCAGCUGUGAAAACUCGAGGCUCAACCUCGAGACGUCGGUUGAAACCGUAUGGCUAGAGUCCGGAAGAGGAGAGUGGAAUUCCCGGUGUAGCGGUGAAAUGCGCAGAUAUCGGGAAGAACACCAGUGGCGAAGGCGGCUCACUGGCCCAUAACUGACGCUGAGGCACGAAAGCGUGGGGAGCAAACAGG
rnacentral:rRNA from 1 species